rnacentral:lncRNA from 1 species
CUUUAUAGCAACGUGAAAAGAGACUAAUACAACAAACAAUCUACUUACAAUAGAUCUGAGAAUAAAAUACCUGGGAAUAAAUUUAACCAAGAGGUGAAAGACCUGGACACUGAAAACUACAAAAAAUUGCUGGCAGAAGUUAAAGAGGAACGAAUUAAAUGACUCCUUCAGAAAUGCAACACAGAGGACUCUAGCCCAACGCAUAAUCUACACUCCAAACUGAAGUUUCUCCUUCAAACUUUGUCUGCUUUACCAUCCUGAUGAGCUUGCCUUCACAUUAACUCAAUGACCCAUGUUGCCCUGUUCACCGAAAUCCUGAAACCAACACUGAGGUAGUCCUGGAGCCUGGCUGUGGCUCUGCCCAACUUUCCUGAGCCACCUCCACUCCUUGCUACUACUGGUCACAGUGGAGAGAUACACAGAGGACAACAGGCAAGGAAAAAAGAGAGCUGAAGAUUAUCAUUAUUUCCUCACUCUUUUCAUCAAAGAUAUUAUCUCCUGGUCCUGAAAUAGUACUGCUCCUUGACACCCUCCUGAGAUACCAGACAAUAAAAAAUGUAGAUUUUAAAAAGUAACCAUCACCUUAUGCUUUAUAAUAAGCCACAAUUUUGUGCUGUUCUUAUUCUAUUAAAGACAAUCGCUACAAUAUAUAAACAUGGUUAGAAACCAUGCAAGCAAGAAAAGCAUGUGGUGAAAUAUUUAAAGAAUUGAAAGGAAAAAAAAAUCUACCUAGAAGUUUGUACCCAGUGAAAUUAUCCUCCAAAAGUGAAGGAAAAAUAAAGACUUUAUCAGAAAAAAGAAUUGAUGUAGACCUACCUUGCAAAGAAGGAUUACAAGAAGUUCUUCAGAGAGGAGGAAAAUGGUGUAGGUCAGAAACUUGGGUCUGCAUAAGCAACAGGGAGCAUCAGGAAAGAAGUGCAACGUCUACCUAGAAUAUCUGCUUCUCGCUGCCACAUGUUCCUUCCAUUCCAUUCCAUGAAGUCUACUUAACGAGCCCCUUCAGUAGAGAAGUUCUCAACGAAUCCCUUCUGGAUCCAGGCAUUCUGAUUACUGUAUUAUGACUGUGCACUCUACCCAGGGCAGACUGUCAUCUGAGCCCGGCCUGUCCUGCUGUCUGCUCUCUCCAGAGAGCAUCCUUCAUCCUGAUAAACAGGCUGCGAGCUGGACAUGUGACUGAGCUCCUUAAGAAAACAGAUCCAGAGAACUGCUGCUCUAUUUGUUCUACAAGCAUCUAGUGAAACUUCCAAGCCACUGUGCUGGGUGCUGUAGGGGGAGACAGAGAUGCCCAAGAAAGGAGCACUGGCCUCACAGACCUUUCAGUGAGGCAUGAGAAAGAGUACGUGUGCACCAGUUAUCAAAGAUGGAAACCCAUGUGGAAGGUGAAAACAAGGCUGUGGAAUCUCAGACAUGAGUCUUCAGUCUCCUGCCCUCAGCUUAGCUGGAAGCUGGAUGACAGCCACAUUAAGAGGCUUUCUGCAAGUGGCUUUUGGAUGAAAAGGGGGCCUCUCAGGUACUCCACUCUCACGUUGCAGGCUCUGCAGCAGCUGGUCUAUCUGGUGGCACUGGGAGUAAGUAGUAUGGGAGACCCCUCCAUGCCGGGGUCCCCUGGAGUGUCCUCCUCAUAGCGUGAGGGUUCUUCUCAGGGAUACUGAGGAUAAUUCACAAUGGCUUUGUAGUUGCAAUAUUCUUUUUUUAUUUCUUAAGUUUCUGUGUCCCAAAUUUUAGU